UACGUAGGGGGCAAGCGUUGUCCGGAUUUAUUGGGCGUAAAGAGCGUGUAGGCGGCCAGAUAAGUCUGCUGUGAAAACUCGAGGCUCAACCUCGAGCUGUCGGCGGAAACUAUUUGGCUAGAGUCCGGAAGAGGAAAGCGGAAUUCCUGGUGUAGCGGUGAAAUGCGCAGAUAUCAGGAGGAACACCGAUGGCGAAGGCAGGUCUCUGGGCCAUAACUGACGCUGAGAAGCGAAAGCAUGGGGAGCGAACAGG
rnacentral:rRNA from 1 species